AUUGAACGCUGGCGGUAGGCCUAACACAUGCAAGUCGAGCGAGCGGCGGACGGGUGAGUAAUGCCUGGGAAUUGCACCGUCGAGGGGGAUAACAGUUGGAAACGACUGCUAAUACCUCAUACGCUUGGCUUGCUCAGGGGGGAUUAGCUAGUUGGUGAGGUAAUGGCUCACCAAGGCGACGAUCCCUAGCUGGCCUGAGAGGAUGAUCGGCCACACUGGAACUGAGACACGGUCCAGACUCCUACGGGAGGCAGCAGUGGGGAAUAUUGCACAAUGGGGGAAACUCCGACGCAGCCAUGCCGCGUGUGUGAAGAAGGCCUUCGGGUUGUAAAGCACUUUCAGCGAGGAGGCGGUACUCGCAGAGGAAGCACCGGCUAACUCCGUGCCAGCAGCCGCGGUAAUUC
rnacentral:rRNA from 1 species